GCGGGCGCUGAGCACUGGUGAGCUCCCCCGGCUGUAAACCGGGCGUCUCCUGGCUGUGGUGGUUCGACUCCAUCCGUCCGCA
rnacentral:tRNA from 1 species